GCAUGACAAGCGCAAGACAGGUAGAGGUCGUUUCUUAAACGGCAGCCCGUAUGGGUGGAUUCCUCGGUUCUUGGGGUCACUUAAUUC
rnacentral:ncRNA from 1 species